rnacentral:rRNA from 1 species
GACGAACGCUGGCGGCGUGCUUAACACAUGCAAGUCGAACGGAAAGGCGCCUUUGGGGGUACUCGAGUGGCGGACGGGGGAGUAACACGAAAGUAACCUGCACCUGACUUCGGGACAACUUCAGGAAACUGGGGCUAAUACCGGAUAGGAAUACUUGCUGCAUGGGGGGGGUUGGAAAGCUUAGGCGGGUCUGGGUGGACUUGCGGCGUAUCGGCUUGCUGGUGGGGCAGUGGCUUACCAAGGCGUUGACGGGUGGCCGCGCUGUGGAGGCGACCGGCCACCCUGGGACUUAGAGACGGCCCCGACACGGACGGGUGGGCGAUGUGGGGAAUCUUGCACAAUGGGCGCCGGCCGGAUGCAGAAACGCUGCGUGCGGUAUGACGGCCUUCGGGUUGAAAACCGCUUUCGGCAGGGGCGAAGCUUGUGGUGACGGUACCUGCAGAAGAAGCACCGGCUAACUACGUG